CUUCCGGUUCAUCUCCUGUCGAGGCAGGGCGUAGAGUACACCAAGGCCCAGAGAGAUUUUGCCCUUACGCUCCAUCUGCAUGGUCCAAAGGCGUAUCAUUACCUGAGAGAUACCCUGCAUAUUCAACUGCCACAUCCCAGUUCAUUGCAAAGGUGGCUGAGCUCUCUUGAUGCCAGACCUGGUCUCAAUAAAAUGAUGUUGGACAUGCUGGAAAGACGACGUCAGGAAGAUGAGGUCAAGUACGGAUGUGUCACUCUGAUGCUGGAUGCCAUGUCCAUCAAAAAUCACGUCCAGUAUGAUCCUCAGACACAAACAAUGUCUGGAUAUGUGGACAUGGGGGAUCGAUUGAAUGAGACUGACAUGGCUUCUGAGGUUCUUGUGUUUAUGGUGGUUGGGCUUCAAUGUUAUUGGAAAGCUCCAAUUGCGUAUUAUUUGACCAAGUCCCUCACACCACAAUCACAGUCUUAGUAGAGCAUGCGUUAGAAGAGCUGCAUCGUCGUCAGAUAAGAGUGGUGUGCAUGACAAUGGAUGGUCAUGCAUCCAAUGUCAGUAUGUGCACUCAACUUGGGUGCGAUCUCAAAGCAGACCCCUGUGAGCCCUUGAAGACCCAUUUUCCACAUCCAGUAACCCAUGACAAUGUUUUUGUUAUGAUGGACGCUUGCCACAUGCUGAAGCUGACACGCAAUAUGUUGCAGGCAUACAGCCCAAUCAGAAGCAUAACUGGCAGUAUCAAUUGGAAGUACAUAGUUCAUCUGAACAAUGUCAAAAAGAAAAGUGGACUACAUGCUGCCAACAGAGUCACAGAUAAGCAUGUGAACUUUGCUAAUCAGAAGAUGAAGGUAUGUUUGUAUGAUGAUUUAUGUAUUGAGGGCCACAAUAGUAAUGUGCUUUAGGACUUUAUUGUGUUUUUAUACUUUUUGAUGAUGUUUGUAUCUUGUAGCGCUAAUGUGCUCUUCAUUUCUCCAUAUAAACUCAA